AGUGAACGCUGGCGGUAGGCCUAACACAUGCAAGUCGAACGGCAGCACAGUAAGAGCUUGCUCUUACGGGUGGCGAGUGGCGGACGGGUGAGGAAUACAUCGGAAUCUACUUUUUCGUGGGGGAUAACGUAGGGAAACUUACGCUAAUACCGCAUACGACCUACGGGUGAAAGCAGGGGAUCUUCGGACCUUGCGCGAUUGAAUGAGCCGAUGUCGGAUUAGCUAGUUGGCGGGGUAAAGGCCCACCAAGGUGACGAUCCGUAGCUGGUCUGAGAGGAUGAUCAGCCACACUGGAACUGAGACACGGUCCAGACUCCUACGGGAGGCAGCAGUGGGGAAUAUUGGACAAUGGGCGCAAGCCUGAUCCAGCCAUACCGCGUGGGUGAAGAAGGCCUUCGGGUUGUAAAGCCCUUUUGUUGGGAAAGAAGAGCAGCAGGUUAAUACCCCGCUGUUCUGACGGUACCCAAAGAAUAAGCACCGGCUAACUUCGUG
rnacentral:rRNA from 1 species